AUAAUCCAAUAUUUUAACAUUUGUUUCAGUUUCUGAUGUUUCUUCUGAUAGCUCAGAUGAUGAACCCAUCAUCAAGAAAAAGAAAUCACCUCCUUCGGAUGAGGAGUUACAUGAAGACGUGAAGAAAAUUCUGGAAGGUGCCAACCUAGAAGAAGUCACUAUGAAAACUGUUAUAAAGCAGGUAUAUGCAAAAUAUCCUGACUUUGAUCUCACCCAAAGGAAAGAAUUCAUUAAAUCAACUGUAAAACAGAUCAUUUCCUGAGUUGUGUGUUGUAGUAUUGUAUUAUAUAAAGCUGGAUGGAAGAUUUAUCAAUCACAUCUGUGUAUGAUGAGAUUGGGUGGACGGUUGGGCCAGAUGGGGGGUAGGGAGUAGGGUGGGGAGUGUGGGAAGGGUAUCAAGCAUUUCAUUGUCCCCUUAUCUCAUCAUGGCUCUAUAAUAUUUCACUCAUUCUCCCCACCUCUUUUUAUUUUUCUAUCUCUCUCUCCACAUAUUCUACAUUUUCAUUGUAAUUUUCUUUCUCAAUGGUGGUGAUGGUGUUAACAGUGAUAGAUGUGAUGACAAAGAUGACGACAACGACAACUGGCUUAUUCCAUUAUUCUACUUCAAAAUACUUGACAUUUUGUGGGGUGGAGUGUUUAUCCCCCCCCCCUACUGUAAGUAUUCUAUCUUCCCCAUACACACACACACACAUAUAUACAUACAAACACAUAAGGUGGGGGAAAUUAGUGCUCAAAUACGAAAGGCAGAGUAAAGUACUCUUUUAUUAAAGCUAAAAAAGAAACUUCACAAACUGCUGCUCAGAGUUGUUUCACAUGACUAUUCAUCUGAUGGUUCUUGUAAUACACACCAGUAAUGGAAUUUUAUAAAUUGUGAGUUUAUUUAUGGAAACCAGUUCAACGAAUAAGCAUUUAAAUUUGAUUGGAUAACUAAUUUUUUUUUAAAUUUAUACAUAUAUAUAUACAUGCAUUUAUACAGAAUAGGCCAAAAAGUCACAAACCAAAAUUAAAACUCAUUUAAUUAUAUUACAUAUUUCAAAGACAACACGUUUUUAUUUAAUUACAAAGCCAA